rnacentral:rRNA from 1 species
GAAUUGCUAGUAAUCGCGGAUCAGCAUGCCGCGGUGAAUACGUUCCCGGGCCUUGUACACACCGCCCGUCACACCAUGAGAGCCGGUAACACCCGAAGUCAAUAGUCUAACCGCAAGGAGGACAUUGCCGAAGGUGGGAUUGGUAAUUGGGGUGAAGUCGUAACAAGGUACC